rnacentral:rRNA from 1 species
CCUACGGGAGGCAGCAGUGGGGAAUAUUGCACAAUGGGGGAAACCCUGAUGCAGCAACGCCGCGUGAAGGAAGAAGGCCUUUGGGUCGUAAACUUCUGUCCUUGGGGAAGAAAAAAAUGACGGUACCCUUGGAGGAAGCCCCGGCUAACUACGUGCCAGCAGCCGCGGUAAUACGUAGGGGGCGAGCGUUAUCCGGAAUUAUUGGGCGUAAAGGGUGCGUAGGUGGUUUUUUAAGCGCAGGGUCUAAUGCACAGGCUUAACUUGUGUCCGCCUUGCGAACUGAAGGACUUGAGUGCAGGAGAGGAAAGCGGAAUUCCUAGUGUAGCGGUGAAAUGCGUAGAUAUUAGGAGGAACACCAGUGGCGAAGGCGGCUUUCUGGACUGUAACUGACACUGAGGCACG